UGGAAUGGAGAGCCCAUCUCUACUACGGCUGCUCUUGCUGACCGUGUCUCUGUGCUGCAGGCCCAACAAAGCCUCCCUGACUCUCAGGCCCAGCACAGCUCAGCUGU